AAUGAACGCUGGCGGCAGGCCUAACACAUGCAAGUCGAACGGAUCCUUCGGGAUUAGUGGCGGACGGGUGAGUAACGCGUGGGAACAUACCCUUUGGUACGGAAUAGCCUCGGGAAACUGGGAGUAAUACCGUAUGUGGUCGAGAGACGAAAGAUUUAUCGCCAAAGGAUUGGCCCGCGUUGGAUUAGGUAGUUGGUGGGGUAAUGGCCUACCAAGCCGACGAUCCAUAGCUGGUUUGAGAGGAUGAUAAGCCAAACUGGGACUGAGACACGGCCCAGACUCCUACGGGAGGCAGAAGUGGGGAAUCUUAGACAAUGGGGGAAACCCUGAUCUAGCCAUGCCGCGUGAUCGAUGAAGGCCUUAGGGUUGUAAAGAUCUUUCAGGUGGGAAGAUAAUGACUGUACCACCAGAAGAAGCCCCGGCUAACUCCGUGCCAGCCGCCGCGGUAA
rnacentral:rRNA from 1 species